AGCGAACGCUGGCGGCAGGCCUAACACAUGCAAGUCGAACGAACUCUUCGGAGUUAGUGGCGGACGGGUGAGUAACACGUGGGAACGUGCCUUUUGGUUCGGAAUAACUCAGGGAAACUUGUGCUAAUACCGAAUGUGCCCUUCGGGGGAAAGAUUUAUCGCCAUUAGAGCGGCCCGCGUCUGAUUAGCUAGUUGGUGAGGUAACGGCUCACCAAGGCGACGACCAGUAGCUGGUCUGAGAGGAUGACCAGCCACACUGGGACUGAGACACGGCCCAGACUCCUACGGGAAGCAGCAGUGGGGAAUCUUGCGCAAUGGGCGAAAGCCUGACGCAGCCAUGCCGCGUGAAUGAUGAAGGUCUUAGGAUUGUAAAAUUCUUUCACCGGGGACGAUAAUGACGGUACCCGGAGAAGAAGCCCCGGCUAACUUCGUG
rnacentral:rRNA from 1 species